AUACGGAGGGUCCGAGCGUUAUCCGGAAUCAUUGGGUUUAAAGGGUCCGUAGGCGGGAAUCUAAGUCAGUGGCGAAAUCUUGCAGCUCAACUGUAAAAUUGCCAUUGAUACUGGAUUUCUUGAAUUAGUGUGUAGUGGUUAGAAUGUGUAGUGUAGCGGUGAAAUGCAUAGAUAUUACACAGAAUACCAAUUGCGAAGGCAGAUCACUAACACUAUAUUGACGCUGAGGGACGAAAGCGUGGGGAGCGAACAGGAUUAGAAACCCCAGUAGUCC
rnacentral:rRNA from 1 species